UGAGGAAUAUUGGUCAAUGGGCGGGAGCCUGAACCAGCCAAGUAGCGUGCAGGAUGACGGCCCUAUGGGUUGUAAACUGCUUUUGUAUGGGGAUAAAGUCAAUCACGUGUGAUUGUUUGCAGGUACCAUACGAAUAAGGACCGGCUAAUUCCGUGCCAGCAGCCGCGGUAAUACGGAAGGUCCGGGCGUUAUCCGGAUUUAUUGGGUUUAAAGGGAGCGUAGGCUGGAGAUUAAGUGUGUUGUGAAAUGUAGACGCUCAACGUCUGACUUGCAGCGCAUACUGGUUUCCUUGAGUACGCACAACGUUGGCGGAAUUCGUCGUGUAGCGGUGAAAUGCUUAGAUAUGACGAAGAACUCCGAUUGCGAAGGCAGCUGACGGGAGCGCAACUGACGCUGAAGCUCGAAGGUGCGGGUAUCGAACAGGAUUAGAUACCCUGGUAGUCCGCACAGUAAACGAUGGAUGCCCGCUGUUGGUACCUGGUAUCAGCGGCUAAGCGAAAGCAUUAAGCAUCCCACCUGGGGAGUACGCCGGCGGU
rnacentral:rRNA from 1 species